GAAUAAUAUUUGUUUUUUAUGAAUAUAAUUUAAGUGAUAACUGUAAUCUGCAUUGUUACAGAAUGAACUCCAUUAGGAGAAAAAGAUGUCAUCCAUUGCAGGAUGCCAAGUUGCAUAUCAGAUUAAAGUCUGAUAAGGCUGUGAUUGAAGAGCGUUGUAUUAAUGUUUCUAAAGGAAGAGGAGUGUUCAGCACAGUGGUUAUUUACAAAGGAGACUUUGUAGUAGAAUAUAAAGGUGAACUGUUUUCGGGGAGAAAGAGAGUUUUGAACGAAAGAAAGGAUAUAGUGAGGCUGAAAGUGUUUUUCUCUAUGAUUUCCAAUGGAAAGGGAAGAACUGGUGCAUAGACGCAUCUCAAGAGGAUAAGUCUUUAGGGAGGCUUGUCAAUGAUGAGCACAGAAAUCCAAACUGUCGAAUGAAAGUCGUAGAUGUUGAAGGAAGUCCACAUCUCUGUCUCUUUGCCGUUAGAGACAUUUUGUCAGGAGAAGAGAUUAAUUAUAAUUACGGAGAUUCAGAUUGGCCUUGGAGAAGACAGGUAUUUAGGUUUCCUCUUUUUUGCUUACUUAGGCCUUUUUACAACAUUUCAUAAAUUACUGCUUGCAAGAGUUGCUCACAGUGUGAUAAUGGGUUGCAUAGGAACAAAUUAAUUUUACUGUUUUAUUCUAACUAGCUAUAAAUUAAAAUACAGUAUGCUGUUUUAAAGGUGGCUGUAUCAUCCCC